AGUGAACGCUGGCGGUAGGCCUAACACAUGCAAGUCGAACGGCAGCACAGUAAGAGCUUGCUCUUACGGGUGGCGAGUGGCGGACGGGUGAGGAAUACAUCGGAAUCUACUUUUUCGUGGGGGAUAACGUAGGGAAACUUACGCUAAUACCGCAUACGACCUACGGGUGAAAGCAGGGGAUCUUCGGACCUUGCGCGAUUGAAUGAGCCGAUGUCGGAUUAGCUAGUUGGCGGGGUAAAGGCCCACCAAGGCGACGAUCCGUAGCUAGUCUGAGAGGAUGAUCAGCCACACUGGAACUGAGACACGGUCCAGACUCCUACGGGAGGCAGCGGUGGGGAAUAUUGGACAAUGGGCGCAAGCCUGAUCCAGCCAUACCGCGUGGGUGAAGAAGGCCUUCGGGUUGUAAAGCCCUUUUGUUGGGAAAGAAAAGCAGCAGGUUAAUACCCCGCCGUUCUGACGGUACCCAAAGAAUAAGCACCGGCUAACUUCGUG
rnacentral:rRNA from 1 species